UCCUCAGUGUUGGCUCCAGCAGGCCUGAUGU
rnacentral:piRNA from 1 species